rnacentral:rRNA from 1 species
CGAACGCUGGCGGCGUGCUUAACACAUGCAAGUCGAGGGGAAAGUUUUCUUCGGAGAAUGAGUAUACUGGCGCACGGGUGAGUAAUAUGUAAGUAAUCUACCCAAGGGACAGGGAUAACGUCGAGAAAUUGGCGCUAAUACCGGAUAAUGCAACGAGGUCGCAUGGCCAUGUUGUUAAAGUCAUUUAUGGCACCUUUGGAUGAGCUUGCACCUGAUUAGCUUGUUGGUGGGGUAACGGCCUACCAAGGCAACGAUCAGUAGCUGGUCUGAGAGGAUGAUCAGCCACACUGGAACUGAGACACGGUCCAGACUCCUACGGGAGGCAGCAGUGAGGAAUAUUGGGCAAUGGACGAAAGUCUGACCCAGCAACGCCGCGUGGAGGAUGAAUGCCGUAAGGUUGUAAACUCCUUUUAUUAGGGACGAAAAAAUAGGUUUAUAGCCUAUAUUGACGGUACCUAUUGAAUAAGCCCCGGCUAACUAC